rnacentral:rRNA from 1 species
UACAGAGGCCUCGAGCGUUAGGCGGAAUCACUGGGCUUAAAGCGUGUGUAGGCGGACUUCUAAGUACCUUGUGAAAUCCCACAGCUUAACUGUGGAACUGCUUGGUAUACUGGUUGUCUUGAGUCAUCUAGGGGCGAGCGGAACAAGUGGUGGAGCGGUGAAAUGCGUAGAUAUCGUGAGGAAGACCAGUGGCGAAGGCGAUUCUCUGGGCAGUUCCUGACACUGAGGCACGAAGGCCAGGGGAGCAAACGGG